CUCUACUGGUCUGGCUCACUCAUGACCUAUAAUAUUAGGGGAUCAAUUUCAAAGGCUCUUGAACAGGAAAACACUUACAUUGGCCUUGGAAGAAUCGUCUUUUCUGGGUGCAAUUUCCUCCUGCUUGGAGCUGGAAGGCGGCUUCCCUGUGGUCACUGCUUGCAGAACAGCGACCCCUGGUGGACUAAGGAGAAGUUCGCCUGUCCAACCGCAGACAGGAAAUGAAGAUUGAAACACGUCUGUGCCACGAAGUUUGCUGGCGAAAUUAAUUCUCUCUUGUCAGUUGGAUGUCAGUCUGAACUCAAGACCACCGCUGUUAGUAGGACAGAGUUGGAAUUGGGGAUAAGAUCUUCACAUGUAGUUAUUUUUUUAUCAUAAAUAUUUCAUUUUCACAGUACGAACAUAAAUAAUUAAAACUAAAGUCACCAGUGUCUACAACCUAGAGGUAAUUAUUAAUGUAUCCUUAAUAUUGAUAGCCAUUUAAUAAUAGAGUCCAUAAAUGUAGUCUUUUAUGUAUUAUUUUUCUCAUAUGUGUCAUGAAUAUUCUAUAUUGCUAAGAGUAACUAUAUAUCAUCAUUUUUAAUGGCUGCAUAGAAUUCUGUUGUGUGGCAAUUAAAUUAUUUAAUCAAUCUCUUGUCAACACAAUUGCUAAUUUUUCACUAUUAAAUUCAAUACUAUUUUUGAUACAUGUGAAAAAUUACUUUUCUGAAAAUUCUUACCAAUUUAUAAUUCCACAGGUAGCAUAUGAGACAACAAACUUACCCAUUCUCCUA